rnacentral:rRNA from 1 species
AUUGAACGCUGGCGGCAGGCCUAACACAUGCAAGUCGAACGAGUGGCGGACGGGUGAGUAACGGCGGGGAAACUGCCUGAUGGAGGGGGAUAACUACUGGAAACGGUAGCUAAUACCGCAUACCAUCAGAUGUGCCCAGAUGGGAUUAGCUUGUUGGUGGGGGAACGGCUCACCAAGGCGACGAUCCCUAGCUGGUCUGAGAGGAUGACCAGCCACACUGUAACUGAGACACGGUCCAGACUCAUACGGUAGGCAGCAGGGUGGAAUAUUGCACAAUGGGCGCAAGCUUGAUGCAGCCAUGCCGCGUGUAUGAAGAAGGCCUUCGGGUUGUAAAGUACUUGCAGCGGGGAGGCGUUACCCGCAGAAGAAGCACCGGCUAACUCCGUGCCAGCAGCCGCGGUAAUAC